CAGGCCUCCCUCUGCUUGGUUCCAGUCGUGGGGAUGAGUGAGGGGCGAUGCUUGAUGGCUUUGAUGCCAUCGGUGGGAAUGUGUUUCCCAUGAUGGUUUACAGUCUUGGGUAUGAGUCAGUGACGAUGCUUGUUUGUUUUGAUGCUUGCGUUGGAACUUGCUUAAGCAACCGACCUGACGAAGUACCCAUGAAUGUCGCCCAUGAUGGUCUACAGUCUUGGGUAUGAGUCAGUGACGAUGCUUGUUUGUUUUGAUGCUUGCGUUGGAACUUGCUUAAGCAACCGACCUGACGAAGUACCCAUGAAUGUCGCCCAUGAUGGUCUACAGUCUUGGGUAUGAUUCAGUGACGAUGCUUGUUUGUUUUGAUGCUUGCGUUGGAACUUGCUUAAGCAACCGAUCUGACGAAGUACCCAUGAAUGUCGCCCAUGAUGGUCUACAGUCUUGCGUACGAGUUAGUGACGAUGCUUGUUUGUUUUGAUGCUUGCGUUGGAACUUGCUUAAGCAACCGACCUGACGAAGUACCCAUGAAUGUCGCCCAUGAUGGUCUACAGUCUUGGGUAUGAUUCAGUGACGAUGCUUGUUUGUUUUGAUGCUUGCGUUGGAACUUGCUUAAGCAACCGACCUGACGAAGUACCCAUGAAUGUCGCCCAUGAUGGUCUACAGUCUUGCGUAUGAGUCAGUGACGAUGCUUGUUUGUUUUGAUGCUUGCGUUGGAACUUGCUUAAGCCACCGAUCUGACGAAGUACCCAUGAAUGUCAGGGGGUGAUGUUGAGAGCCGGAAGGCAAGGGGGUGCAAACACCAGUCGGCCUUUGUCCCGAUUGCUGAGUGUUAUGUGCUUGAUGUUCAAGGCUUGAUGCUGAUCCUCCAAGUGGGGCUUGUCCCUGCACCAAUGGCUUUUGCCAGGAUCAUGGCGUUUGUUAUGAUCGAAAAACUGAGGGGGUGAUGUUGAGAGCCGGAAGGCAAGGGGGUGCAAACACCAGUCGGCCUUUGUCCCGAUUGCCGAGUGUUAUGUGCUUGACGUUCAAGGCUUGAUGCUGACCCUCCAAGUGGGGCUCUGAUCAAGUUUGGUUGGUUUCGUAUUGUGGUGGGUUUUUUCGAAGCUUCUAUCGUUCUUUUACGCAUCGUGCGGUGCAUCUUGGGGGCUGUUUUGGCUUUUGGUUGCUUGCUUGGGCUUUAUGCUAGGCGGGUGGCUAAU
rnacentral:misc_RNA from 1 species